GAUGAACGCUGGCGGCGUGCUUAACACAUGCAAGUCGAACGAAGCACUUUAUUUGAUUUCCUUCGGGACUGAUUAUUUUGUGACUGAGUGGCGGACGGGUGAGUAACGCGUGGGUAACCUGCCUUGUACAGGGGGAUAACAGUUGGAAACGGCUGCUAAUACCGCAUAAGCGCACGGCAUCGCAUGAUGCAGUGUGAAAAACUCCGGUGGUAUAAGAUGGACCCGCGUUGGAUUAGCUAGUUGGUGAGGUAACGGCCCACCAAGGCGACGAUCCAUGGCCGACCUGAGAGGGUGACCGGCCACAUUGGGACUGAGACACGGCCCAAACUCCUACGGGAGGCAGCAGUGGGGAAUAUUGCACAAUGGGCGAAAGCCUGAUGCAGCGACGCCGCGUGAGCGAAGAAGUAUUUCGGUAUGUAAAGCUCUAUCAGCAGGGAAGAUAAUGACGGUACCUGACGAAGAAGCACCGGCUAAAUACGUG
rnacentral:rRNA from 1 species